AGGUGAGUCAUCGAUACCAUUUUUCCUAUGCCUUAUCUCCUCGACACGUAAUGCACCGAUGAUACUUAUACGUGAUUUUAUUUUUGAAAGUAGUCCAACAUAACACGUAUAAAAAAUGUGAUUCGAAUUCAUAAAGUAACUAUGCUAUAAUUUCAAAUCGUGUUCAAUAAAAAAAUUUAACUUUUAUA